UGGGGAAUAUUGCACAAUGGGCGCAAGCCUGAUGCAGCCAUGCCGCGUGUGUGAAGAAGGCCUUCGGGUUGUAAAGCACUUUCAGCGAGGAGGAAGGGUGGUGUGUUAAUAGCACAUUGCAUUGACGUUACUCGCAGAAGAAGCACCGGCUAACUCCGUGCCAGCAGCCGCGGUAAUACGGAGGGUGCAAGCGUUACUCGGAAUUACUGGGCGUAAAGCGCACGCAGGCGGUUUGUUAAGUCAGAUGUGAAAUCCCCGCGCUUAACGUGGGAACUGCAUUUGAAACUGGCAAGCUAGAGUCUUGUAGAGGGGGGUAGAAUUCCAGGUGUAGCGGUGAAAUGCGUAGAGAUCUGGAGGAAUACCGGUGGCGAAGGCGGCCCCCUGGACAAAGACUGACGCUCAGGUGCGAAAGCGUGGGGAGCAAACA
rnacentral:rRNA from 1 species